rnacentral:ncRNA from 1 species
AAAACCUUUAUUAUAGUGUAAUUCACAUAAAAACUUGAUUUUUAAAAUGAUUUUUAAUCUAAUUUUUAUAUUUUUAUAAAUAAAAUAAAUAAACUUAAUUAAAAUUUUUAUUCAAAUUUUUAUAGAAUUAAAAAAAAUUUAUAAAUAUUUUUUAUAAAAAAAAUUAUUAAUUUAUAUAAUUAGUAAAUAAUAGUGCCAGCAAUUGCGGUUAUACUUUUAAUUAAUUUAUUAUAGAUAAUUAUAAAAUAAUUAUAAAAUAAUUAUAAAAUUUUUAUAAAAUUUUAAGUAAAAUUUUAUUUUAGAUAAAUUUUAUAAAUUUUUUAAUUAAAAUUUAAAAUUUAAAAUAGGAUUAGAAACCCUAGUAUAUUUAAAUAAAUUUUAGUAGUAAAUCAUUUUUAUUAAAACUUAUUUAUAACGGCGGCAUUUUCUUUAUUUAAAGAAACCUGUAAUUUAAUUGAUAACCCACAUUUUUUUUCACUUUUUUUAAAAAUUUAUAUAUCGUCAUUAAAAGAAUUAAUCUAAAAUUUUUAUUCUUAAAAAAAAUUAAAACAUUAGAUCAAGGUGUAAUAAAUAAAAAAGAUAUUAAUGGGUUGCAUUAAAUUCAAUUUAAAGAUUAUUCUUUUAUAUAAGUUUAUAAAAUAGAAUUUAAAAUCAAUAUUUUUAAUAAUAUUUUAAUAUGAAAUAAAAUAUUAAUGUGCACAUAUCGCCCGUCACCCUUAUUUCAAAAUAAGGUAAGUCGUAACAUAGUUGAUGUUUUAGAAAAAGCAUCAAGAUUUUU